UGCAGUCGAACGAACUUCCGUUAAUUGAUUAUGACGUACUUGUACUGAUUGAGAUUUUAACACGAAGUGAGUGGCGAACGGGUGAGUAACACGUGGGUAACCUGCCCAGAAGUAGGGGAUAACACCUGGAAACAGAUGCUAAUACCGUAUAACAGAGAAAACCGCAUGGUUUUCUUUUAAAAGAUGGCUCUGCUAUCACUUCUGGAUGGACCCGCGGCGUAUUAGCUAGUUGGUGAGGUAAAGGCUCACCAAGGCAGUGAUACGUAGCCGACCUGAGAGGGUAAUCGGCCACAUUGGGACUGAGACACGGCCCAGACUCCUACGGGAGGCAGCAGUAGGGAAUCUUCCACAAUGGACGCAAGUCUGAUGGAGCAACGCCGCGUGAGUGAAGAAGGGUUUCGGCUCGUAAAGCUCUGUUGUUAAAGAAGAACGUGGGUAAGAAUAACUGUUUACCCAGUGACGGUAUUUAACCAGAAAGCCACGGCUAACUACGUGCCAGCAGCCGCGGUAAUACGUAGGUGGCAAGCGUUAUCCGGAUUUAUUGGGCGUAAAGCGAGCGCAGGCGGUCUUUUAAGUCUAAUGUGAAAGCCUUCGGCUCAACCGAAGAAGUGCAUUGGAAACUGGGAGACUUGAGUGCAGAAGAGGACAGUGGAACUCCAUGUGUAGCGGUGAAAUGCGUAGAUAUAUGGAAGAACACCAGU
rnacentral:rRNA from 1 species